CUGAAUAACUACGCUGAUCGCACGGUCUCGUACCGGCGACGUAUCCUUCAAGUGUCUGCCUUAUCAACUUUCGAUGGUAGUCUAUAAGCCUACCAUGGUUGUAACGGGUAACGGAGAAUAAGGGUUCGACUCCGGAGAGGGAGCCUGAGAAACGGCUACCACUUCCAAGGAAGGCAGCAGGCGCGCAAAUUACCCACUCUCAGAACGAGGAGGUAGUGACGAAAAAUAACAAGACAGUUCUCUAUGAGGUCUGUCAUUGGAAUGGGUACAAUCUAAACCCUUUAACGAGGAUCUAUUGGAGGGCAAGUCUGGUGCCAGCAGCCGCGGUAAUUCCAGCUCCAAUAGCGUAUAUUAAAGUUGUUGCGGUUAAAAAG
rnacentral:rRNA from 1 species